rnacentral:rRNA from 1 species
GACGAACGCUGGCGGCGUGCUUAACUCAUGCAAGUCGAACGGAAAGGCCCUGCUUUUGUGGGGUGCUCGAGUGGCGAAAGGGUGAGUAACACGUGAGUAACCUGCCCUUGACUUUGGGAUAACUUCAGGAAACUGGGGCUAAUACCGGAUAGGAGCUCCUGCUGCAUGGUGGGGGUUGGAAAGUUUCGGCGGUUGGGGAUGGACUCGCGGCUGAUCAGCUUGCUGGUGGGGUAGUGGCUUACCAAGGCUUUGACGGGUAGCCGGCCUGAGAAGGUGACCGGCCACAUUGGGACUGAGGUACGGCACAGACUUAUACGGGAGGCAGCAGUGGGGAAUAUUGAACAACGGGCGGAAGCCUGAUGCAGCAACGCCGCGUGCGGGAUGACGGCCUUCGGGUUGUAAACCGCUUUCGCCCGUGACGAAGAGUGAGUGACGGUAAUGGGUAAAGAAGCACCGGCUAACUACGUG